UAUUGAAUGUAUUGUCAAGUUGCCAGAGUCAUUGUUUUUGUUGUUUCCUGCCCAAUAUUCUCUAGACGGUAACUCUGGCAGAGGAAAGAAUUAACUCUUUUAUUAACCUCAAGGUUUAAACAUGAGGUUAAUGAAAUAGUAAAGAUAGAACAUUUGUAAAAUGCUGCAUAAUACGCGCUUUUUAAUUUAGUUACUACAGCGUGUCACUGAUGUAAUGGCUAAUAUGGUAUCAUGCGUUUUUAUUCAGAAAGUGGCAAAAAUUACAGUGGGAAUAUAAUUUUAUCGAAGCCUGAUUUAAGGAUUCAAGACUAGACUUCAUGAGAUACAGAAUGGCGCAUUUUUUUAGCACCAUUUUUAGUGGGUAGCACAACACAAACACGCACAGCCGCGUUAUCCAAACCCACGUAUACACGCAUUGCCUACUCUCUUACAUACUUCUCUCCAUAAUGUCUUCUUAUUGUAGAUGGUGGGAGCAUGUGGGGCUAUACUAUACGUGUCUUCAGUCUUAAAUCGACCUCCGAUUACAUAAUUUACAGGAAAGCUCAUGCUGUGAAUUUGUCAUCUUUUAACAUAAACACUGAUAAUAGAUUAGAACUGGAAUCAUGGUUUUAUUGCAAUGACCAUUUAACUAACAAUUUUAGGAAAUCACAUUAAUGUAUAUUUAAAAAAAAAAAAAAAAAACUAAAAAAAGGACAGAAAAUAAGAACCACCGUGGCCUUUUGCUUAAUUUGGCUUCACAGGGAAUAGAUGUGUAUAUUUAUCAGUCUUUCUUUGUCAAUGUUUAUUUAGAAUUAGUUAUAUAGGUAGGCGUGCAUGUGUUCUAUAUUUGUCAGGACUAUUUUGUAUUUACUGUGCAGUAAAUUCAUUAUAACAACUUUUUAAAGGGAACACCGCUAGCAACCCUUUAACCCUUUGGGUGCCAGAGAGGUGGGCAGCUUAUUUAAUUGCUGAACCCCCUCUAACGCUCAGAGGUUUAAGAGAGUGUAGUUGAAUUAAUGCAUGUACUGUUAACUUUUUUCACAGGUUUUGCAAACACAAAAAAUUACAAAAAAAUAUUUCAUGGGAUCUUCCAAACUUUUACUGAAUUUAUGUGGGGGGGACUGGGUUAAUCAAUUGUUUGUUUUAUUUUUGAAAGUGUUACUUGUUCUUGUAUUUACUUGGACAAAUCUAUUCGUGGUAACUUCUCUUUUGUAUAAAAUAUGUGCACCUGUACGUUUUGCAGAUUCAAAGAGGGGUAUUUGAAUAUGCAUUUUUAAAAUGACAUUUCUGUGUGAUCCUUGUCAUGUUUAUAUAUCUAAAUAUACAUAUAACAUACCUCCCAAUAUACAGGAUGGUCAAAGCUGGACUUUUAGGGGUGUAGCAUCAGUGGGUCAAUAUGCAUGCACUAAGCUGAUACAUUAUUCCAACCAGUUCCGUGUAUGCAUGAUGACAUCUAUGUAUAUACAUAUAUAUGUAGACUCAGGACUUUCCCUCGAAAUCCAGGUUACUUGGGAGUUAUCAUAUGUAUAUUCACAUAUAUACACACAUAGUUUGUAGUGGUACUGAUGUUAAAAGUUGAACAAAU